rnacentral:rRNA from 1 species
AUGAACGCUGGCGGCGUGCCUAAUACAUGCAAGUCGAGCGAACAGAUGAGGAGCUUGCUCCUCUGACGUUAGCGGCGGACGGGUGAGUAACACGUGGAUAACCUACCUAUAAGACUGGGAUAACUUCGGGAAACCGGAGCUAAUACCGGAUAAUAUAUUGAACCGCAUGGUUCAAUAGUGAAAGACGGUUUUGCUGUCACUUAUAGAUGGAUCCGCGCCGCAUUAGCUAGUUGGUAAGGUAACGGCUUACCAAGGCAACGAUGCGUAGCCGACCUGAGAGGGUGGUCGGCCACACUGGAACUGAGACACGGUCCAGACUCCUACGGGAGGCAGCAGUAGGGAAUCUGCCGCAAUGGGCGAAAGCUUGACGGAGCAACGCCGCGUGAGUGAUGAAGGUCUUCGGAUCGUAAAACUCUGUUAUUAGGGAAGAACAAAUGUGUAAGUAACUAUGCACGUCUUGACGGUACCUAAUCAGAAAGCCACGGCUAACUACGUG